rnacentral:rRNA from 1 species
UGGGGAAUCUUGGACAAUGGGGGCAACCCUGAUCCAGCCAUGCCGCGUGAGUGAUGAAGGCCUUAGGGUCGUAAAGCUCUUUCGCCUGUGAAGAUAAUGACGGUAGCAGGUAAAGAAACCCCGGCUAACUCCGUGCCAGCAGCCGCGGUAAUACGGAGGGGGUUAGCGUUGUUCGGAAUUACUGGGCGUAAAGCGCACGUAGGCGGACCAGAAAGUUGGGGGUGAAAUCCCGGGGGCUCAACCCCGGAACUGCCUCCAAAACUAUUGGUCUAGAGUUCGAGAGAGGUGAGUGGAAUUCCAAGUGUAGAGGUGAAAUUCGUAGAUAUUUGGAGGAACACCAGUGGCGAAGGCGGCUCACUGGCUCGAUACUGACGCUGAGGUGCGAAAGUGUGGGGAGCAAACAGGAUUAGAUACCCUGGUAGUCCACACCGUAAAACGAUGGAAUGCCAGUCGUCGGGUAGCAUGCUAUUCGUGACACACCUAACGGAUUAAGCAUUCCGCCUGGGGAGUACGGUCGCAAGAUUAAAACUCAAAGGAA